GCGCCGGCGCCGACGGGAUGCAUCAUGGGCUGCACCAUCAUCGGCGGAGGCACGGCCACCGGCGGCGGCGGAGUUUACUUUUGUUGAACUCCACUUGGAUGACAAGAUCACAGGAUGAUACUAAAAGAAGGAUCACAUGGGGAGUGAUGUUUACUAUUUGUCCCUGACAACUUAAGCAUGAGCUUUCAGGGAGACCUAGCCUUCUGGUGGACAGUUCACAUGAGCUGUGAAAAUUUGGCCAUAUGCCAUGGAAUGAAGCAGCUGAAGAGGCAAAAAGUACAGUUGCUAGCACAGCAGACAGUGGCAUGUUCCUUAGCAUGAUUCAAUUCUGAAUUGUACUACAUUUCUGCCUCAGAAAAUAUUUUUCUUUCAGCAACUGAACAAUUAUUAAUAUGCAGAAAUGCAUAAUA